GCUUCUCGAUUUUUUCCCUAAACAUUUACAAGCUACAUAGUCGACAACAAGGAAUUGCCUCUUACUGCAGUGAGUUUAGAUUUAGUUUGUUCAUCACAUCGAUACUGGAAACGGGUUUCAAAACUGGUGGAGAUAAAAUUUGGCACAAUGGAAGGGAUACGUAGGAUUUACGUGAUUGAAAGCAUUGUAUUGAAUGGGUGGUGUAUUUACAAAUGUUUUGGAGCUGAGGAGGAUAUGCAGAAAAUGACUAUAUACCUGGGAUUAAUCUUGAUAUGUUCACUUAGCGUUCAUGUGCUUUCAUUCUUAAUGGAAAAGGACAUCGCAUUCAUAUCUACUUUGUUCAUAUUUCUUGUUGCUCUAUUGGACAUGUUCACUCAAUUGUGUCUAGAUAUCAAAAUUUUGCGUUCAAAAACGGUAGAUCUAACAUGGUUUCAUGUCAUAAAAGUGGGAGCACAAAUUUUCAAGUCGUACGAAUUCUUCACAGCAAUUAAGAACGUUCAUGACCAAAUACUUGUUCCAGAUUUUUGUACGAAAUUAUUUUCUAUCUUGACGAAAGCUUUAUGUUCAAUGACAUUUGGCAUAUGUUUUAUAGGCGCAGCUAUAAAAUUGGUUGAAGUGUGCUUUGCGAUUAUCGUUGUUUAGUUUCGUUUUGAUGGAUGGUUACCAUAUAUAUAGAUAGAUAGAUAGAUAAAUAGUAAUUACUUUUCGCAAUGAUCGGUAAAAGUAUAGGUAAAAAAUAAAAAAGAUAAACGAAGUCGUUUAGUAAAGCUUUAGCGCUUUCAUUUCAAAUUUUCAGAAGCUUUUCAUUUAGUAACAUAAAGACGUUACGUCACAAACAGCGGAACGUUAAAAUUAAACAAAUCUAGACGUCAUUACAUACUGACUGUUGAAACGUAUUGUUCAUUGUGACGUCAUAGUAAAGCAAAACAAAUUUCGACGUCAUAAGACACUGAACGUUAAAACAUUGUGUUUACAGUCAUGUGAUUAUAAAGUAAUGCGUGAAAACAUUUUCAUUUACAAAUAUGAUAACGUUAAACUGAAUUAUUGAAGAUAACGAACAGUGAUCAAUCUCAUAAGCAAUCCUAUAAGCAAUACAAGAUAGAUUGUCAAUCUCAUAACUCCAAUAAGCAAUAUAUAAUUUAUACAAUAUCCAUAAUAAUAUAUCAAAUAUUUACAGAUAUGUGAGAGGUAGUUUUUGCAUUAAGUCAUGCUGCCUCUAGGUUAAUAAUCCUUUGGAAGUAAAACAUAUAGCUAAUAGAGCUAGUUUUGAAUCUGCUGUGAAGUUGUAUCUUGCAGAAGAAGCUCGUAGGAGGGAAGAAAGCAUUUAUAUAUAAUGUUUUUUAUGGUAAAGUGUAUAAUGAUACAUUUUAAAAAAAUAUUUUGUAUCAAUAUAAAAUCAAACAAUGUACAUAAUUUUACUUAAUUUGGACUAGGAAAAUCGUCUAAUGUUCAAUCUGUUUUGUUGUUGUCUAUUUUGUCUUAGUCAAACAUAAUCUAUAAUCAAUUUAUAACAUCUUAGAUAAGAAUGAAUUUGUAGUUAAAAUGUAGUUCUUAAUUUUAAAUUGUAACCACUGCAAGGGAAAGUAGACACCAAAUUAUGUUGUUUAUGCAAACAUAGUGACGAAACAAUUAUUCAUCCGCUUUGGGAUUGUCCAAAGGUACAGGAGCUUCUAGGAUCAAUCAUAACUGUAUGUAAUACAAAAGGUAUCAAUAUUACAUUAGAUAAAAAAAACUUUUUGGAAUCACCAGUUCUAAAGAAAUAAGCAUUAUUCUGUUAAUUAUCAAAUCAUAUAUAUACAGGAAAAGAUGUCAGCAACAAAGCCUAUCAAGCCAGGAACUGCUGAUUGAUCUUAAAACACAUAUAACUACACUUAAGUAUACUGCAACUCAACAUUGCAAAUAUGAUGAAUUUAUAAAUCAGUGGAAUACGUGUUUUUUUCUCUUUGACAGACUCUGAUUGGCAAAUACACCUACCAUUAUCUAUAUUUAACUUUAUAUUUUGAUCUUGCUCUUCUAUAUCAACACAACCUAGUUAUGAUUGAUUUACCAUACUUGUGUCAAUUGAUAUCGGAUUAUAUUUUCUCUAUCUGUCUCUCACCACCCCUCUCUGUCCAUUUCCAACAGUCUUUCUCUCUUCCCACUCCUCUUUUUCUAUCUCUCUAUUGCUUUAAUGUAUGUAUAUGUAUGUGUAUGCAUUUGUACACUUAUUUGUGACAUAGAUCUAAAUAAAUUUGUAAUACCUCCCCCCCCCCAAAAAAAAAAAAACAACAACAAAAAACUUAUAACAUCUUAGGACCCAUUGGAAAUAAGCAAGUUUUAUAAAUUGCUUUCAUGGGUUAUCCUAGGCAAAGAUUGAUUUAAAGUAUAUAAUCCUUAUUGUCUGUGAUAAGACCUGGUAGUAUGAUAAGCAUGUAUCUUGAUAAUGUUGUUAGCAGCUAUAGCUGUGAUAAUAUCUGGAGUGCUAUUGUUAACAUAUGAUAGUAAUGUGCCAAAAAUUCAUUUGUGAUCCCUAAUUGACAUUAUUAAUGCAUUUUACAAUGUAGUUGAUUAUGAUUUGUAAUUCAUCUGAUGCUUUGCUAGAAUAAACAUAAUAAUAAUAAUAACAGCCUUAAACACACAAAUGUUCAUACCGGUAUUUCCCCCUCCAGGCAGCGCUACAGAAGGACAGACCCCUUCAGAUAGUCUGAAUAUUUUCAAUAAUUAUCAUUACAAAGUCAUAGAAAUACCAUAAAACCAGUUAUAUUAGAGUUGAAUUUCAGUUAUUUAAAAGUAUCUUAUUGGUACAUUAAGUUUGUCUUUAUAAAAUAGGAAAUAUUAAUGUUUUCCUUAUUUGCAUAUCUUAGCUUCAUCUUUAUUUUAUAUAUGUAAAAAGCUGUAUAUGAUAAUAAAUAAUUUAGUGAAAUGGUAGUUUUAAUUUAAAUUUCGAAUACAGUUCUUAAUUAUUCCAUAUCAGUUGUACGUUUCUACACUCAAAAAGAUAAAAUGUUUUGUGCCUUCGAGUGUUUGGAAAGACGGACAUUGAUUAGAUACAUUCUUAUUCCAUUUGUGAACAGAUGUAUUAUUUUUAAGUACAUUUUGUAAGAGCUUGUAAUUAAAUUCUGCUAGUU